UACGAGGGGGGCGAGCGUUGUUCGGAAUUAUUGGGCGUAAAGGGUGCGUAGGCGGUUCCGCAAGUCCUGUGUGAAAUCUUCGGGCUCAACUCGAAGUCUGCACGGGAAACUGCGGGGCUUGAGUGUGGGAGAGGUGAGUGGAAUUCCCGGUGUAGCGGUGAAAUGCGUAGAUAUCAGGAGGAAUACCGAUGGCGAAAGCGGCUCACUGGACCACAACUGACGCUGAGGCGCGAAAGCUAGGGGAGCAAACAGG
rnacentral:rRNA from 1 species